AGUGAACGCUGGCGGUAGGCCUAACACAUGCAAGUCGAACGGCAGCACAGUAAGAGCUUGCUCUUACGGGUGGCGAGUGGCGGACGGGUGAGGAAUACAUCGGAAUCUACUUUUUCGUGGGGGAUAACGUAGGGAAACUUACGCUAAUACCGCAUACGACCUACGGGUGAAAGCAGGGGAUCUUCGGACCUUGCGCGAUUGAAUGAGCCGAUGUCGGAUUAGCUAGUUGGCGGGGUAAAGGCCCACCAAGGCGACGAUCCGUAGCUGGUCUGAGAGGAUGAUCAGCCACACUGGAACUGAGACACGGACCAGACUCCUACGGGAGGCAGCAGUGGGGAAUAUUGGACAAUGGGCGCAAGCCUGAUACAGCCAUACCGCGUGGGUGAAGAAGGCCUUCGGGUUGUAAAGACCUUUUGUUGGGAAAGAAAAGCAGCAGGUUAAUACCCCGCUGUUCUGACGGUACCCAAAGAAUAAGCACCGGCUAACUUCGUG
rnacentral:rRNA from 1 species